rnacentral:ncRNA from 1 species
GAAAAAACUAUGAAAAAGAGGAGUAGGGUUUACACCAUUUUAAAGAGAAAAGAAGUCACCGGCUGAGAGCUUCUUAAAAAUAAGAAAACCUGAAGGUAGCUUUGGAGUUGAUUACUUGAAAUAAUAGUAAAGUGAUUCGUAAGUCUGCGUUAAAGAUAUAAGAGAUAUAUAAAAUUGUUUUAAAAUUAUUUUGUAUAAAUUAGGUGGUACCGCGUUUUUUAAAUCGUCCUAGUG